rnacentral:rRNA from 1 species
GUGGGGAAUCUUCCGCAAUGGACGAAAGUCUGACGGAGCGACGCCGCGUGAGUGAAGAAGGCCUUCGGGUCGUAAAGCUCUGUCAUCAGGGACGAACGGCCGGUGGAGUGGAAAGCCACCGGAUUGACGGUACCUGAGAAGGAAGCCACGGCUAACUACGUGCCAGCAGCCGCGGUAAUACGUAGGUGGCAAGCGUUGUCCGGAAUUAUUGGGCGUAAAGCGCGCGCAGGUGGGAUCUUAAGUCCAUUUUGAAAGUUCGGAGCUCAACUCCGUGAUGGGAUGGAAACUGGGAUUCUUGAGUACCGGAGAGGAAAGCGGAAUUCCCAGUGUAGCGGUGAAAUGCGUAGAUAUUGGGAGGAACACCAGUGGCGAAGGCGCCUUUCUGGACUGUGUCUGACGCUGAGAUGCGAAAGCCAGGGGAGCGAACGGGAUUAGAAACCCUUGUAGUCC